rnacentral:lncRNA from 1 species
AGAGAAUUAUUGAAGAUGGAAGAUAUUAAGGUAUGCUAUAGGCUCAUAAGAAUGACCCAGGAGAAAAAAAAAAAUGAUAAAGUGAGAGAGAGAAGGGCUGAUGGCUCAAGCAAUGCCCUUGGGUAGGGGAGAAUGGAUGGGAUCUAGAGUGCAAGGAGACAGGCCAGGUUCAUUUGUACCUGAGGGAGGACAAGGAUGGGAGCAUAGGUACAGCAGGUGGUAGAGUGGGUGAAAAACAUGGGGCCAGGAGUCUUUCCUAACACAAUAUUGAUUAUCUCUUCUAAUCAGGAAACUGAUGGCCCAAGACCUUAGGAGAGUUUCUAAAUCAUACAGCUGGUUAACAGCAAAACCACUCUUAUUUCCCCUAUGAAAUUAUCCUACCACAUCUCAACCCCAUUGAAAAUGUGUGUUACUCUUCCUGCAACUGGCUGGAUUGUUCCUUACAGACUCAUGGUUGUUGUUUUAUUUGUUUUGUUUUGUUUUUACUGAUCCUGGGUUUCUCUUGAACUCUUUGGUCAUCUGCCAGCACUAAUGUAAUGAGAAGUUUGGAAUUGUGCCCUGAAUUUCCACUUGCAGAGAUUUUUAAAUCUCCCAUUGACCAUUUCAGAGGAAGAAGUAUGUAAAUUUAAAAAAAUAGGAUCCAUUGGGUCCACCUGACGUUUCUUCAUGAUGGGGGCAGGUAACCCCUGACUUGGGACUGCAGUGCCCAACAGAGUGUCCUCCCCACAAUGGAUGUUUGUGGAAAUCUAUUGAACAACUCAGUGAACCAUUUAUAUUAUAAGCUGCUGGAACUUCUGUAACUGAGCCAAUUCUCUCUCAGGCCUAAUAUUCAUUCCAGUGUUUCUACUGUGAAUGCAGCACACCUAAGGGCUGGUCCUUUUCAGAUUUGUUUCUAGGCUGACAAUUGAACAAUAAUUCACAGUCAUCUACAAAAUUCACAGUAAUUUCAAAUUACAUAGGCCCAAUUAUUGGUGCCAAGCCCCAGGGGUUAACUGCUAGGUUACCAUCAGAAAACAACAAGUUUAACCACAGGAUGGCUAAACCAGGGUAUCAUAAAGACCGAGUCAGAAGCCUAUAUGGUGUGUAUAUUCCAUGUGGCCCUUGAAGGGACUUCUGCUUGGCACAAUGGAGACCAGCUAGAUAUGGAGAAGUGACCAGAACUGGUUGCUGUGGGCAUCCUCCAAGUAUAAAGAAAUCACUCACCAUCCAGGGAGCCCUCCUGAAUUAUCAGAGGAGCUGCCAGUACUCCCAGCCCACUUUCUCUCGCCAUGAAUCUCCGUUGGUUGCUCUUCUAAUAGCCAUCUAGAAAAAGGUUUAUGCAUGUCUCUCAUUCCCAUAAUAUAAAAAUUGCUAAACUAACUUAUUGUGUAUAACAAUUAAACUAAUAUGCAAUAUCUAAUUACUAGGUAACAUGUAACUGCGAGCAGACUAUCAUGGUUCAAAUCCCAGCUCUGCCGCUUAUCAGCUAUAUGACUAGCAAGUCUUCCAACACUUUGUGCUUCAUUUCUUUACGGAUAAAAGUGGGACUUUAUUAUUACUUAUUUUACAGCGUGGUUAUAAAGAGUUGAAUGGAUUAAUACAUGUAUAACAUAUUUAGAACAGUUCCUGGCACACAGUAAGGACCAUUGAAGUAUUGGCUAUUUUUGUAAGAGCUGAAAGACACAGCUAAUGUUCAGUGCAAAGCAAAGCACCCAAAACCCAUUUGUAACGAAAUAAUUUAGUUAACCAUAUCAGUCACAGAAAACUCAGCCACACAAUCUCUCCAUUUGGCUUCCUUCUCUGACAAAAAUAAUGUCAUCAAAACAACUACUGUCUAACACAAACCCAAUGAUAGUUGUCAACUGUAAUGUAAAAACUGCCCAUUCAGAAACCUGCCUUACUCCAUUUUGAAAAAGUUGAACACGAACAGCUAAGUUUGUUGGAAAAAAAGGAAAAAAAAAGAAUGCCUGUGAUACUAACUUUUGAGGUCAGUUUAUUUGAGUGAAGCACAGUAAGGCACUCAGAGCAAUUCACAGAAGGGACAUCACAGAGGCACUGCCUCUUCCCCACUCACUCAUCCUUGCGCUUCAGCCAGGCCUAACUACUCACCGCCCUCCAAUACACGCGGUGUCCUGUGCCGGUCAUUCUUGUAAGCGAUGCUCCAUCCACCUAAACAGCCCAAUCUCUCCCUACCACCUUGUCCUCUCUGGAAACUCUAUUCAAUUUGACUCAACAAAUUUCUCCUCAAAAUAUCCCCUGAUUUCCAAGCAAAUUUGAUACCUCUCUGCUUUAUAUUCUACAAAGCUCAUCCUUUGAAUUGCUUUCUUACAGUUUAUUCUUUUGUCUCUCAUUGCUAUUAAACACUGAGAUUCUUGAAGGCAAGGAUUGUCCCUGAUGUUUUUUUACAUCCCUAACUUCUAGAAAAAUGAAAGGUAUGUAAUAGAAAAGUGAUAACUGCUUGAUAUUUUCAUUAAUUCAAAUAUCGGUAGGGGGAAGCCUUUUUUAAAAAAGAAAUUAGAAGCAUACCUGUAUGCAUAAAACAUAGAUCACCAC